GUAGGGAAUCUUCCGCAAUGGACGCAAGUCUGACGGAGCAACGCCGCGUGAGUGACGAAGGUUUUCGGAUCGUAAAACUCUGUUGUGAGGGAAGAACACGUACCAACUAACUAUUGGUACCUUGACGGUACCUCACCAGAAAGCCACGGCUAACUACGUGCCAGCAGCCGCGGUAAUACGUAGGUGGCAAGCGUUGUCCGGAAUUAUUGGGCGUAAAGCGCGCGCAGGCGGUUCCUUAAGUCUGAUGUGAAAGCCCACGGCUCAACCGUGGAGGGUCAUUGGAAACUGGGGAACUUGAGUGCAGAAGAGGAAAGUGGAAUUCCACGUGUAGCGGUGAAAUGCGUAGAGAUGUGGAGGAACACCAGUGGCGAAGGCGACUUUCUGGUCUGUAACUGACGCUGAGGCGCGAAAGCGUGGGGAGCAAACAGGAUUAGAUACCCUAGUAGUCC
rnacentral:rRNA from 1 species